rnacentral:lncRNA from 1 species
GUAACUUUUGGGAGUCAGCCUCUGCUCCGUGAUGCGACAUGAGGUGUGACAAGGAAGCUGGGGACUCCAGAAGCCCCCACAGGAAUCUUGAUCCAGUGAUGUGUACCUCACCAGAAACCAAUUAUACAGAGCCAGCUAGGCCUCCCUGUUAUGUCACUGUCUUCCUUUGAGAUGACUGGACUUUAAAUUUGAGGCUGAAAUUGUUAACUGGGUCUCCUCUCAACCAGUAACGGGCAAGUGUUUAGAGCAGGACCUCUUUGGCGGAGGACGGUGGCUCAUGCCUAUAAUCCCGAAGCACUGGAAGGCUACAGCAAG